rnacentral:misc_RNA from 1 species
ACGUGCGUGCGCAUACACACCACCCCUCACCUCGCUGCUGCUGCUGCUGUGACAGCUCUACGGACCCUGUCCAGUCGUUGCGCCCCCGCCACUCGCCUCUGUCCCCCGCACGAGGCUACGCACGACGUGUCGGCGACCCCGCACUGCUCUUGACGCUGGCUGCGAAUGGCGCUGUGCGUGCGUUGGCUGGUGCUGGCGGCAACCCUCGCCGCUGUGGUGGCGCUGCUGCUGUGCACGAGCAGUGCGCCGGUGGCGCGUGCUGUUAAGGAGAGCGACUUCACUGCUGAGCAGCGGAAGAACACGAGAGAUGUGCUGCAGGCGUUUGGGCGUGCGAUCCCUGAGCUUGGGAAGAAGUGGAUAGGCAACGACUUCUGCUCGUGGAAGUACGUCGACUGCUACUCCUCUGACGUCAGCGUAUGGGUGGGUAGUGCGGAUUAUGCGGGCUCGCUGCCGGAGAUGCCUGCGGGCGUCGACUACAGGCACGUCGUGAUCACGCUACUCGACUUCAGCGCAAUGGGCCAGAGGCUGAGCGGGACGCUGCCCGCCUCGUGGAGCUCGAUGACAUCACUGGCCACGCUUUAUCUCCGGCUCACGAAGGUCUCCGGCACGCUGCCGCCCCAGUGGAGCUCGAUGACAUCGCUGGUGUCGUUGUGGCUUGAAAGGUGCGAACGUGUCACCGGGACGCUGCCCGCCUCGUGGAGCUCGAUGACAUCGCUGAGCGAUCUCAAUCUGCAUGGCACUCAGGUCUCCGGCAGUCUGCCGCCUCAGUGGAGCUCGAUGACAUCGCUGGGCACGCUUUAUCUGCGGCUCACGAAGGUCUCCGGCAGUCUGCCGCCCCAGUGGAGGUCGAUGAGAUCGCUGAACGUUCUCGAUCUGCAGGGCGCUAAGGUCUCCGGCAGUCUGCCCUCCGAGUGGAGUGGGAUGAAGAGUGCCGAGGUCCUGCAGCUGCAGGACUGCGACCUGUCCGGCAGUCUGCCCUCCUCGUGGUCUGCGAUGCCGAAGCUGAAGAAAGUCGCACUUAGGGGCAACCACUUCUGCGGGUGUGUGCCUGAGUCGUGGGUGAAGAAGGCUACUGUCAUUGUGGAGAUCGAGGACGAGCACAAGGGCCGCGACUGCUCGACUGAGAGGGUAUGCCCAACGACUGCUCCUCCGCAACCGACCACUACUGUGGGGCCUAAUAUACCCACGACCACUGCGAGCCCAACAGCCACGCCUACUCCUGCCCCCGAGACGGAGUGCGAGGUGGAUGGGUGUGAGGUGUGCGAGGGGGACUCCGCGGCGAGGUGCGCCAGGUGCCGUGAGGGCUACUUCCUGACGAGCGAGAAGACGUGCCGGGCCGACCGCGAUGGCGGCGUUGCGGCCGCGUCGAGCGGAGCGGCUGCUGCCGCUGCUGUGUGCAUGGCUGUGCUGCUGAGCGUGGGGCUGGCGGCGUGAGGAUGCCGCUGCUGUCACGCGCAGGCGGCGGCACCCGCUGCGUGGCACACGGCUGCGUGCGUGCCUGUGGGCUGAUGGGGGCGGAGCGCGGGUGUGUGUGGAGCGGGGCAGCAGCCGCUGGAGAGAGGGGGAGGGCGAUAGCCGAGAUGCAAGGGCCGCGGUGUUUGUGCGGCCAUGUGCGGCGUGCGGCACACGGGCGGUGCGUGCACCGGCUUGGGACCGACAGCCCGCACCCCCUUCCGUCGCCUCCACUUCUCCCUCGCUCCCUCGUUGCAGGUGAGAGGCGCGCACCCAUGGCUGCUGCGGCGCACACGCAAGGCAGCGUGUAUUGUGUCUCGGUGCGACCUCUGCAUGGCGGCCCCGCUCUGCGACACCUUGUUGCCCGGGCACUCCGGCGGCGUGCGCUCUGUCCCCCUCUCCUGUCACGUGUCGUGAUGCGCUGCUGCGCUGAGGAUGCGUGCCACGGCCUGCCAGCACGGCUGCUGCACGAGCCGCAGCAAUGGCGUACAGCAGGGUGUGGGCGUCGGGCGCAGUGCUGGUCUGGUGAGGCGGACCCCUCUUAUCUGUGGUGCCCCUGCUGCCUCCCCUCCCCCUCGGCACGACGCCCUCGCUGCCCUCUCACCCCCGGCUGCUACAGGAGAGACCGACGCCCACGCGCGGACGCAGACACACACACCAUCGUGCACCGUUCGCGCUUUCCCCCGCUGUCGCGCCGGCACGGAUGCACGAGGAUGCGGGGGCGUGCGCACGUAUGUGCGUGUGUGCGUGCCGGCUGUUGUCUGUCGCUCUCUCUCUGCGACCAGCACUCGGCACCCGCGCCGAUGGAAUGUGUGCGCGGCGGUGGAGGCUCGCCUUGGGCCGCGGGUGCGGACGUCCGCCACUGGCUGUCUGCGGUGCGGGCUGCUGUGCUGCAGCGCCUCGAGGCCCCCCUCUCCCGCCAGGGCGAGCGAGCGAGCCUCUGCUGCCGUGUGGGCGACGCACGCAUGCACCGUCCGGGCCUCUUCAACGGGCUUCGAUAGCGGUGCUGUGUUUUGGCCGUGUGGGCGGGUGCUGCGGUGGCGCCUGGUGUGGCUGUGCUGGCACGCCUUGCCGCGCCCCUUGCGCCGCUGCCAUCGGCGGCUUCGUCGCUGACGCUGCCGCUCGCACGCGUGCUCGGGCCGUCUGUGCAGCAGCGGUGGUGUGCCGGAGUCGGCGGCACGCCGUCGAACCCUGAUUGGCGCCUCCGCGAGGUGCGACGGGGAAGCUGGGGGGAUGGGGAGGGCGUGGGCGCCCUCGUGCGCGGCAUGCGGGGAUGCGCGUGCGGCGGCGCUCUACUGCGCUGAGUAGUGAGGCUCGGUGCACGCGGCGCGAUGGCACGCAGCCUCGCUACCGGGCCACCCCGCUGUGCGUACGCAGCGGGUGAGCAGGCCCGUGCUCUCCCCUGCACCUUGCCCCUCUCCCCCACCCUCCUCUCUCGCAUGCCGGCGAGGGAGGGGUGGCACGUGCGCGUGUGCCGCUGCGCUUGCGAGUGCGUCUGUGCGUGGGCCCUCACCACGUGCUCCGGUCACGCCUUCUCGGCUGGCCACUCGCGGCGCUGAGGGCGGUGUGCCCCUCCCCCGAGCGCCGUCGCACUCUCUUCCACGCGUCUGCGCGGGCUUCUUCGUGCGCUGUGCUCAGCCGUGCGCUCUCACCUCUUUCCCUUUUCAUUCGCUUGUCUUCUCUCUUCUCCCCCGCACUGCGGUCUCCCCUCCUCUGCCGUGCGGUGCGCAGGCGGGUGACUUGCCGUUGCGUCUCCCCCUUUCGUGGAGCGCUGAGCCGAUCCCCCUUCGGCCUCCCUCCUCCCUACUCCCGUGGGUCCUGUCUGUUGUACAUCGUCGGACCGUCUCUGAGCAUCGCCUCUCCGCCUCGUCCGCAGAGCCGCGCUCGCCUGUGCCGCCUCUCGGACUUUAUCCUUACUGUGUAUUCUCACGGUGCGUCUCCGUGUGUGUGUGUGCCACGCACCGCUUCUUCCAUGUGUGUCCUUGCUUGCUCUCUUCUCCCCCCCCCCUCCCCCUCUGCCUCACACAUUCCGUGCGUGUGUGCAUCACCGUUGGGCGGCGACAUCGGUGCCCGUCCCUGCCACCCUCUACUCCCUCAUUCGCAUCUUGCCACAUCGUGGGCGGUGCGUGCAUGCAUGGAUGUAUAUACACGCAUAG